rnacentral:lncRNA from 1 species
ACAACCGGAGGGAAACUCAAUGCACAGACCCUGAUUUGCAACUUGUAAUGUAAAUCAACUCAACUGCAUCAUGUACUUACCAGCCACCUUCUCCCAACUGUGGCCGGGGCCGAGAAGCAGCAUGUUCUGUCCAUCUGUAAAAGGCCUUCUUUCUCUCUUAAGACGUCACAACUGGUUGUUACUGAGAACUUUAGAAAAACGACUAGAUCGUUUGGCUCUUUCUGGGCCUUCCACCUACACUCCAUGCCCUCUCUCCUCCCAAGAAAACACGAAUUAAAAUACAGGGAGUAUCAACCGCAUCCUGCCAACACCUCAUAAGACUCCAAGGCUUUACCGAGAUCUUCCACCUUCCCCGGGAUAAAUGAAGACAAGUGCUUCCUAGAAUCUUUAUGGUGAUGGAAAAGAUAUACUAAAAGAAGACAGAUCAGUCUCUCUCCUGAUAAGAAGAGUCACCAAGAGGAACAUCUGCAACAACUAGAUGCUGCUACAAAGAGACCAAUCAACAACUGCUCAGCAGAGAUACAGAUCUGAAGCACAGAAGUGCAAUAGACCUUCCUGAUGCCUUCGCCAGGAGCAUGGAAUUCUUCCCAGAGUCACAGAAGAUGGCACAGCCUGGGGACAAUUGGGAAUCACCUGGAGGAUGGCAGACAACACGAACCUGCAAGUAAUCAUCCGACCAACUUCCUCUACUGCUUGGGAAUUGCAGGUUGUAUAAUCUUGGGAGGUCACUUCAACUAUACAAUUGGACUAAGAACACUGACUCUCGUGGGUGUUAUAAUUAAAUCAGGUAAUAUAUGGUAAGGUAAGCAUUGAUUAGUCUCUUCAUUAGUUGAUUAGCCUCUUCAAAUGUUAGUUUGAUUAGUCUCUUCAAACGUUAGUUUCCUUCCUCUUUUCAGUAUGCUCGCUGAAAAGCUGGCUACAGAGCGAGUGACUGAAUCAAAGCAUCACAUCCUACAUGCUCCCAUUCCCCAUCUUGCUACAGUGGUACCAGCUUCUGUGCCCAGAAGAUGGUGCUGUGGUUGGAUGAAUAAAACAAUUACAGGGCCUUCAAGGAUAAGAAGAAGGAACAUGGAUAAAUAUCCCCAUUCUGCCUAGACAGAAAUAAGAAAAACAUUCCCUUUUCUCUUCUUUAAAACGAAUUCUUGAGUCAUGCAUGGCAACAAUAUGUGUUGCCAAAAGUGGCCAGUUUGUGGUAGUAGGUUUUAUUCAGAAAAUCAGUGGGUGAUGAAAAUUUAGAAGAUGCACUCAUCAUUUGUAAAACUGUAGAUGAAAGUUUAAAAGAUGAUGUUAUACCACUUUUUCUUCACUGCCCUCAUCAGUGGCUCCAUCCCACCCUCCUGCUGUUCUCAUAACUGAUGUAGAAAUAAUUUCAUGAGCCAAACAGGAUGGUUUUAUACGUGUGUGUUUGGCAUUAACUUUAUUUCCUAUUCACGUACCAGAUAUUACUGCCCGCUCUUAUGAAAUAGUUUAUUCCACCAUAAAUGUAUGUUUUAAUGAUCACCACAUUUUUUUGGAAUACAUUAAUCUGUCUAAAAAUAGGUGAUUAAAUCAUCUGUCAUUCUGCUGUGAAGCUCUUUAAUGUUUUCUUUGGGAAAUAAAUUAGAAUGCCAUAUUGGUUUCCAAGCAGACAUAAGCUGGCGAUGACUUUUUUGUACAAAAGUUACUGAUGAAAAGCUCAUAGAGGCAUUUGGAUUUCUUCAGGGUUGUAAAUCCAGGUAUGUUACUACUUUAUCUACUGGAAAUUGGGGUAAUGCAGGAGAUGGGAAAGCAUGAUGUUAAAUCAACUGGUGACCCCAAAUAAUUUUCCAUGGUGUUCAUCAGCCAUGCACACACUGUAUUACUGUCAUCAUUCCUAGCUUUUCCACUAUGCUGUCUCAAGUUUGCACAAAUUGUAAGUGAUUUUAAAUCAUUAACUGAUGUGACAUAAUCAAAUUACUUAGGGUUUUAUUUACUGUGCUCCGAGUAAUUCAGUUAUGACUUGGCAAGGUAUUUAACAGACAAUAGUGAAGUUACUACAAAUUCAACUUUGCAUUGGACAACUCCAUUUGAGGAUACCACCACCUUCAAAUUAACAAUUCCAGAAACUGGUCUCAGUAUCUCGUUCCAACAACAAGCAUCACCCACUACAAUAAAAACAGCAAGUAGAAUCUUUUUACUUCUUUUGUGUUUCUCAUCUCGGCAAACUGCACUACAAUCUACCAAACUGCCCGAGCCAGAAACCUAGAGGUCAGGCUGGAUUUUCCUGAGGACAUGAGGUGAAGAAGCAACCACUGCGAAGUACUAAGCAAAGGAUGGGUCAGAAGUAUGUGCUCUGGAGCCACGCAAAUCUGCUUCAAAUUCCAGUUCUGCCAUUUAGAUAGCAGGUUAUCUACAGAUACAGAAACCAUCUAGGAGGUCUGGUGUUGGAUACAACUAUUUGUACCUUGUAAAAUUCUUACCUCUAAAUCAUUAAAAAACAAAUGAGUAUCAGCAAGAUUAAAAAUCAUUUCUUCCAUGCGGAGUCCAAGGGUUACAGCCAUGGGGGGAUCCUGUAAAGAAAAUGUACACAUAAUGAGCUUACUAAGUCACUGGGACAGCUAAUUCUAAGUGAGCAGAUUACAGCACUGCAUUUUUCCAGCUAAAGGACUCACAGAUCCAAGAAUCCCAGAAAGAUGACUGGACAUUUGGUGGGUGUAGCCUUAGCAAUGCUGGGCACCCUCCAUCUUGCCAAACUGCUGUGAGGGAGCUGCCAGCACCUGCAAUUCCACUGUUUUAUCAGGCAUGUGAGAAUGAAACAUACUUCUGGAUUGAACCCAAGUUUUAUACAGAGAUGUUUGCUCAUUUUCAUUAGAUGUUUGUAGAAUUAUGGGCACCUUAUGAAUCAAGAGUUGCUUUUUUUUAAUUUGCAUUUAAGUGUAGUGAAUGUUGAGUUUAGGGUCUAAAAUGAGGUGAUAGCAAAAUCUUGGAUAGAGGAAAAAAGUGGGAUAAUAAAGGCACUAACAGGGAAAAAAAAAAAAAAAAAA